rnacentral:rRNA from 1 species
UACGUAGGGCGCAAGCGUUGUCCGGAAUUAUUGGGCGUAAAGAGCUCGUAGGCGGCCUGUUACGUCUGCUGUGAAAUCCCGGGGCUUAACCCCGGGCGUGCAGUGGAUACGGGCAGGCUGGAGGCAGGCAGGGGAGAACGGAAUUCCCGGAUGUAGCGGUGAAAUGCGCAGAGUAUCGGGAGGAACACCGGUGGCGAAGGCGGUUCUCUGGGCCGUGUACUGACGCUGGGGAGCGAAAGCGUGGGGAGCGAACAGG